AUUGAACGCUGGCGGCAGGCCUAACACAUGCAAGUCGAGCGGAUGAAGGGAGCUUGCUCCGGGAUUCAGCGGCGGACGGGUGAGUAAUGCCUAGGAAUCUGCCUGGUAGUGGGGGAUAACGUCCGGAAACGGGCGCUAAUACCGCAUACGUCCUGAGGGAGAAAGUGGGGGAUCUUCGGACCUCACGCUAUCAGAUGAGCCUAGGUCGGAUUAGCUAGUUGGUGGGGUAAAGGCCUACCAAGGCGACGAUCCGUAACUGGUCUGAGAGGAUGAUCAGUCACACUGGAACUGAGACACGGUCCAGACUCCUACGGGAGGCAGCAGUGGGGAAUAUUGGACAAUGGGCGAAAGCCUGAUCCAGCCAUGCCGCGUGUGUGAAGAAGGUCUUCGGAUUGUAAAGCACUUUAAGUUGGGAGGAAGGGCAGUAAGUUAAUACCUUGCUGUUUUGACGUUACCAACAGAAUAAGCACCGGCUAACUUCGUG
rnacentral:rRNA from 1 species